CCUACGGGUGGCAGCAGUGGGGAAUAUUGCACAUUGGGCGCAAGCCUGACCCAGCGACGCCGCGUGAGUGAAGAAGGCCUUCGGGUCGUAAACUCCUUUCAGCAGGGAAGAAGGUUCAGUGUGUAAAUCAGGAAGCAAUUGCCGCUACCUGCCAAGCAGGCACCGGCUAACUCCGUGCCAGCAGCCGCGGUAAUACGGAGGGUGCUAGCGUGGAUCGGAAUGACGGGGGGGAAAGGGAGCGCAGGCGGCAUGUCAAGUCAGAGGUGAAAUCCCGGGGCUCAACCCGGGAACUGCUUCUGAAACUGGCAGGCUGGAGUGUCGGAGAGGUAGGAGGAAUUCCAGGUGUAGCGGUGAAAUGCGUAGAGAUCAGGAGGAACACCGGUGGCGAAGGCGGCCUGCUGGACUACAACUGACGCUGAGGUGCGAAAGCGUGGGGAGCAAACAGGAUUAGAUACCCGUGUAGUC
rnacentral:rRNA from 1 species